GGCCGGGUGGCGCAAUGGUAGCGCGUCAGUUUUCGGUUUUCCAAAAUUGUUGUUCACUGAAGGUUGAGGGUUCGAGCCCCUUCUCGGUCG